AUUGAACGCUGGCGGCAGGCCUAACACAUGCAAGUCGAACGAGUGGCGGACGGGUGAGUAAUGUCUGGGAAACCGCCCGAUGGAGGGGGAUAACUACUGGAAACGGUAGCUAAUACCGCAUACCAUCGGAUGUGCCCAGAUGGGAUUAGCUAGUAGGUGGGGUAACGGCUCACCUAGGCGACGAUCCCUAGCUGGUCUGAGAGGAUGACAAGCAAACCUGGAACGGGGACACGGUCCAGACUCCUAGGGGGGGCAGAAGGGGGGAAUAUGGCACAAUGGGCGAAAGCCUGAUGCAGCCAUGCCGGGUGUAUGAAGAAGGCUUCGGGUUGUAAAGUACUUUCAGCGAGGAGGCGUUACUCGCAGAAGAAGCACCGGCUAACUCCGUGCCAGCAGCCGCGGUAAUUC
rnacentral:rRNA from 1 species